rnacentral:misc_RNA from 1 species
GAGAAAUAUUAUUAUAAAAAAAAAUUUAAAAUAAUUAUUGACUAAUAUUUCCAAUCAAAUCCAAAUUAGCUUUCAUAGUCCAAACCAGACAAUAAGAACCAAACCAAAGCCAAAGAGGAGGAAACACUAAUUUGUCAAAAAGAAGCAUGGAAGAAAACAGAGGAAAAAACAGAGAAGUAAGGAAGCUUAUAACAAUGGAGCUGCAAAGUGCAUCAUCGUAAAAGGGCAGAAACCAAACUCAGUGGAUCUUUUUCUUCUGAAGUGAAUAAGGGUGGAAACACGAAGGAAGAGUCUUCACAAUUGUCUUGAGAACGUCCUUCAUGGUACCCAGAAAUGCAACAUACAAAUGAACUUCAGCAGCGCAAAUGCUAAUUAAGAAGGGAAGAAAUGCCGCGAAAGAAAUGGAACUUGUUGUCCAUUUCUUAUCCAAACAAAGAGUGAGCCAAAUCAUGGUGCCAAAUGCAAACAAAGUCGUCACCAUUGAAAAGAAGAACAAUGUGAAUCCUACAGUAAGUUUCCAAGGGAGAUAAUAAGAGCGAUGGAAUUCUUCAAGAUCAAAAGGGGAUGUUGUUGGGAUUAUAUAUCGUAUGGGAAUAUUGAAUUGGCUAAUCAUUUUAACUCAAUUACUUCUAUCAGCUUAUAUUAAAAUGAAGCUUCUAUAAGCCCCAUAAACAACUCAAUCACUUAUGUCCCUCUCCACCUUUG